GUUUCUUGAAAUAUGGGGUAAAAAUCUUUGCGGAAGUAAGCAAAUUGCAGUAUUUAGUAGUUGUGACACUCCUGGAAUGCCCACUGUGAUUGCCAGGUUGUAGUUAACAAUUUUUCGCUUUCACGUUGUGCUUCAUGGAUUUCUGUACUCAUCGUGCAAUGUGGAGAUGAUGAUCGAACGAUCGAUUUUAACUGUCACUUGUUUGCUUUCAGUAUGUUUCAAUGGGUGACAGGGAUGAUCUAUCCCAAUACAGGCUAUGGGUACUGGUGAGUGAGGACAAUUCUCUUCUCAGGGUGGAAGACCUGUUUCUCCGGGUCGUGCUGCGUGUUUUCUGGUGGCAGCUCAUUUUUACGAUCUUUGCUGUCUGGUAGUGAAAAAAGCUGCGCCUAUCCUGUAUAGGAUGAUUGUCCAACAACAGUUGGAAAUACCAUGAGAACAAGGUCGGUGUCCCAGAAUGUGAUGAGGAUGGCAGCGUAUUAGUAUGCCUGACUUCAAUGGUUUUCAAACUCUGCUCAAGCAAAUGAACUGCUCCCUCCGUCCCAAAUUACUAUUCGUUUUGGUUUUUCUAAGUACAUGGCUUUUGUUAUGCACCUAAAUAUAUAUUAUAUCUAGAUACAUAGAAAAAGCUAUGCAUCUAGAAAAGUCAAAACGAAUAGUAAUUUGGGAUGGAGGGAGUAUUUACGAAGGAAGAGAGUUGGAUUUGAAGAUGUUGGAUGCAUUUCUGUGUCUUACGGUCACUGAUUCGUUAGGAGGGUUGGACACGUGGUGUUAAAGUGCCAAGAGUGAUUGGUAGACUGAAUGUUGUCAAUAUUGCACGAGGUAAGACCAUGCUGAAGGAGAUCGAAUUACUCAAUUGCACAAGCUAGGAAUUACUGGCAUUGACAAGAAUAACUGCAAGUCUGCAAGGUUUUUGAGUCUGCCAUCGCAAACCACAGACACUUGUGGUCCUUAUCAUUGCAUUUCGAGGCCAAAGAUGCAUCCAACAGUGCUCCAAUUGGGGGCCUAUACAAUGUCAAAUCACCAAGUUAAAGAAAUUAGCAAUGCCUCACCUCAAGCUUUUGAAUUCUGAUGAUUAACUGUUAGUGAGUUACAGUCUUACAGACUCCUCUUGGUUUACUGAAAUUCUGUUCCUGUCGAGUCUCAAGGAAGUCCUGCUUAAUGGUUUGUAUUGCAGCGGAGCGGAAAUACUAGUGGGAUAUGGACCUUUACUUGGACCAAUUUUUUUAGAAGGACCGGCCAUUCAUGGAACAAUUUUUACCCACCUUGCUGACAAUCCAAACAGGUCUGAACUGAAGAUUGGCUACUGAAUGAUCCAAACAGGUCUGCAUUGACAAUCCACCUUUCUCGUCUGUCGCUGUUGGUUGUCAUGCUUGUUAUCAUCAAUGGUUUUUUCUUCCAAAUCGCAGAAGAUCAUAUGAGAAAUGAAACAAAAGUUUGUUUCUUUGUACCCUGAGCUGUAUUGUCCUAAUAUAUAUUUUUUUUAAAAAAGUACUUGUCCAGGUAAUACUGUUCUAGUUUCUUCUCAUGUCUAUUCAAAACUACAUUCAUGUCCCUGCCGCUAUUGUUUCCAAAUUCCAGUAGGCACAGGAUAUAUGACACAAAAAUUUGUUGUUUAUCGUUUG
rnacentral:lncRNA from 1 species